rnacentral:tRNA from 13 species
GGAGGGAUUUUCAAUGUUGGUAGUUGGAGUUGAGCUGUAAACUCAAUGACUUAGGUCUUCAUAGGUUCAAUUCCUAUUCCCUUCA